rnacentral:rRNA from 1 species
GACGAACCGAGCGAACGUUGUUCGGAAUCACUGGGCUUAAAGGGCGCGUAGGCGGGUGCUCAAGUCCGUGGUGAAAUCCUCCGGCUCAACCGGAGAACUGCCUCGGAUACUGGGCGUCUCGAGUGUGGUAGGGGUAUGCGGAACUAUCGGUGGAGCGGUGAAAUGCGUAGAUAUCAGGAGGAACACCGGCGGUGUAGACGGCUUGCUAGACCAUAACUGACGCUGAGGCACGAAAGCGUGGGUAGCAAACAGG